rnacentral:rRNA from 1 species
AGUGAACGCUGGCGGUAGGCCUAACACAUGCAAGUAGAACGGCAGCACAGUAAGAGCUUGCUCUUACGGGUGGCGAGUGGCGGACGGGUGAGGAAUACAUCGGAAUCUACUUUUUCGUGGGGGAUAACGUAGGGAAACUUACGCUAAUACCGCAUACGACCUACGGGUGAAAGCAGGGGAUCUUCGGACCUUGCGCGAUUGAAUGAGCCGAUGUCGGAUUAGCUAGUUGGCGGGGUAAAGGCCCACCAAGGCGACGAUCCGUAGCUGGCCUGAGAGGAUGAUCAGCCACACUGGAACUGAGACACGGUCCAGACUCCUACGGGAGGCAGCAGUGGGGAAUAUUGGACAAUGGGCGCAAGCCUGAUCCAGCCAUACCGCGUGGGUGAAGAAGGCCUUCGGGUUGUAAAGCCCUUUUGUUGGGAAAGAAAAGCAGCAGGUUAAUACCCCGCUGUUCUGACGGUACCCAAAGAAUAAGCACCGGCUAACUUCGUG